rnacentral:lncRNA from 1 species
UCAUUCAGAACUAGGAACAAUGACAAAGUAUACCGAUGUGGAGAGUCGAUUGAGGAGCCGUCGAGGUUCUGGUCCGAAGUUCCUACCAUUACAUCAAAAUAAAAGGAAAUAUUAAAGCAAAAUAUAAAAGAAAAAUACAAGAUCCUAUUUACUUCUUGUAUUGAAUCUCCACUUGUUCCUUUAACAUGAAACUUAAAAUUCACCCUAUUCUUCAGGGGCAUCUUGCUGACUUGAUUUUGAAGAAAAUUGGAAGUUGGCCAUAUUCUGCAGCCAGGCACUCUGAUGCUUGCACUUGAAAUAAAGUUGAACUUGGAGUAUAUUUGAGCUUGAAAACCUUGUUCCUCGGGCGGCUCGUGCUACUUUUGAUUUGAAUUUAAAAUUGCCCCUAUUCUCCACGCGAGUUCCUGUUGUAUUUGACUUGAUUCUUGAAAAACUGAAUGUUUCCCAUGUUCUUCAGGCGGACUCCUGCUGUUUUUGACUUGGAUUUUGAAAACUGGAAGUUGACCCUGUUCUUCGGCCGGGCAUCCUGCUGCUUGCACUUGAAAUAAACUUAAACUUGGAGUAGACUUGAGCUUGAAAACCUUGUUCUUCAGGCAGCUUGUGCUACUUUUGAUUCGAAUUAAAAAUUGCCCCUAUUCUCCAAGCCGGCUCCUGUUGUCUUUGACUUGAAUCUUGAAAACUGAAAGUUGACCCUAUUCAUCAGGUGGAUUCGUGUUGCCUUUAACAUGAACCUUGAAAACUGAAAGUUGACCCUGAUCUUCAGGUGGGAGUCUCCUGCUAUCUUUGACUUGAAUCUUGAAAACUAAAAGUUGACCUUGUUCUUCAAGCAGAUUCCCGCUGUCUUUGACUUGAACAUGAAAAUUAAAAGUUGACCCCAUUCUUCAGGCGGGAUUCUUUUGAUGCCUCUGACUUGAUCUUGAAAAAUGAAAGUUGACCCUGUUCUUCAGGCGAGAUUCUCCUGAUGCUUCUUGAACUUGAAAAUUGAAAAUUGACUCUGUUCUUCAAGUGAGCUCCUG